UUCGGGAAGCGAGCGUACACAGGUGCUGCAUGGCUGUCGUCAGCUCGUGUCGUGAGAUGUUGGGUUAAGUCCCAUAACGAGCGCAACCCCUACCUUUAGUUGCCAUCAGGUUAAGCUGGGGACUCUAAAGGAACUGCCUACGCAAGUAGUGAGGAAGGCGGGGAUGACGUCAAAUCAGCACGGCCCUUACGUCCAGGGCUACACACGUGCUACAAUGGCCGAUACAGAGGGCAGCUACCUGGUGACAGGAUGCAAAUCUCCAAAGUCGGUCUCAGUUCGGAUCGGAGUCUGCAACCCGACUCCGUGAAGUUGGAUUCGCUAGUAAUCGCGCAUCAGCCAUGGCGCGGUGAAUACGUUCCCGGGCCUU
rnacentral:rRNA from 1 species